CUGCUGUAGGACAGACCUGGCUCCCAGCGUUUCUCUUUCCCAGGAAGGCCGGAAUUAGAAGCCCUUGGAACAGAACACAAAACUCCUGUAAUUCUGUUGUUUUCUCCUCAAAACCUCUGAGCUUAACUCUCAAAUCAACCACAUGAGAAAAUCUGCAACUACAGAGCUGGGCUGUGGCUGAGAGCUGAGCCUCAAUACCCAUUAUCUGCAUUCAGAGAGCUGCACCGAGGGCUGCAGGGCCCAGUGCUGGUAGCACAGCAAGCUCCAUCUACUACCUUGACCUUUGGCAGAAGCCCAGAAAGGCAUUUUUGGAUCACUGCUCAAAACACAGUGAGAAGCAGAGCCAAGAGCAAGCGAGAAAACAGAGCUGCUUCGUGGGGGCUUCACAUCGCAUCCGAGCAGAAAGCAAUUUAUGUAAGCCCUGCUUGGCAUAGUGUCCGUUGUGCCUUACUCUACUUGUAAAACACUCCGAAGGCCAGCCCGUUGCUAUAGAAUAUUGUUUUUCUCUGAAAGAAAACAUUCUCAAGGUCUCCCCGUUGCAUCCACGUGGCACGGAAUCAUCUCUAGGAAGCUCCAGCAGGCAUUCACAUGCAUUGCCACGAACCACUGCCGGCAGCUGCUCCGCGCUUCAGGGCCAAGUUUUCAGUGAUGCGUUGGACAGCUAAUUAGAGCACUUGCAGGAAACAGGGUGCAGCACAGUAACCUCAGAUCACCAGUACGUAGGAGAUGGGUUUUCCAGGUUACUGUCACCUUUCACAUCACGGACUUUCUAAUCAAGCUGCUCAGAUUCCCGAGAUAACACAUCUGGAGAGCAAGCAGAAUCCCAGGUUACACUGGAUUCAGGGUCACUAGCUGAGCUAGUGCACGUGCCAUGCAGGGCCUUUGAUUCACACAAAGAUGGGAUGUCAUGCCAAAGCUGAAGAAGCUCUGCACGUGAAACAGGUUCCAGUCUGAGCCUUACACACGCACAGCCCUGACAGGCCUGCCUGGCUACCUCCUCCCUGGAGCAUGGGCUCUUUUUCCCUACAGAAACAGCAGCACCGCUCAGAUCUCUGUCAUCCUACCAAAGGAGCAAUGAGGGCUGGGGAUGGAUGCGUAACACACACAUACAGACAGGUCCCCCCUGACCAAGGGGUAUGGGGCACAUUCACGUGCUCCUAAACUGAAGGAAAUAGGGGAAAAGCAGACUGCAGUAGAAAAGAGCAACGCUUGCAGUAAAAAUCAGUUGGUUGCUUCACAUCAGCCUGCCCCUUAAAUUAAAAGGGAAACAGAGGGUACUUGCUGGAACAGAAAGGCUGUAGAUUUGAGACAAAUAAAAGAGAAAUACGACUUGACCCAGUACAGUCACUUCUGGAAUCCACUGCCCAGGAAGCCAUGGAGACACGCACCAGUGGAACAGACAUUUUAAGGGACUGGAUAAUUUUAUGAGCAUUAAUAACAUUUGCAGCUAUGCAAGCUAAUAAAAUGUUACAAGGGUAAUCAAACUUCAUGCUUCAGUGUGUAAGCUGAUCACCUGUGAGCACCGGGAAGGAAUUUCCUCUCUGGUGCUGUUGCAUUGAGCAAGUAGCCAGAGGUAGCCAGCUGCACCGCAGGGGCUUUUUUCCCCCCUCAUCAGUGUCAUUGCUUCUGCUGCUCAUGCUUUUGAUUUGCUUUUCUUCCUGCAGUAGCUGGCAGCCAGCAAAGAGACUAAGCUCACAACAUCAGUGAGAGUUUUGCUGUCAGCUUGCUAAGGUUUCCUGGUACGGUCUCGAGACAACGGUUCAGCCACAAUCCCAAAAGAGCGUCAGUUUACCUCAGGAUGGUGGUUCCUAUAUGCUCAUGCCCUGGCAGAAGGCUCACACCAAGCACAACUCAUCACUCCAGGACCCACGUUUACUCUUUGCUGCUUCCACAGUGCUCGAGCUGCGUUGCCAGCAA